AUUCCUACGGGAGGCAGCAGUGGGGAAUAUUGCACAAUGGGGGAAACCCUGAUGCAGCGACGCCGCGUGAAGGACGAAGUAUUUCGGUACGUAAACUUCUAUCAGCAGGGAAGAAGAUGACAGUACCUCAGGAGGAAGCUCCGGCUAACUAUGUGCCAGCAGCCGCGGUAAUACAUAGGGAGCAAGCGUUAUCCGGAAUUAUUGGGUGUAAAGGGUGCGUAGACGGGAAAUUAAGUUAGUUGUGAAAUCCCUUGGCUUAACUGAGCAACUGCAACUAAAACUGAUUUUCUUGAGUACUGGCGAGG
rnacentral:rRNA from 1 species